rnacentral:rRNA from 1 species
CCUAUGGGCGGCAGCAGUGGGGAAUAUUGGACAAUGGGGGGAACCCUGAUCCAGCCAUGCCGCGUGUGUGAAGAAGGCCCUCGGGUUGUAAAGCACUUUCAGUGAGGAAGAACGCCUGGUGGUUAAUACCCAUCAGGAAAGACUUCACUCACAGAAGAAGCACCGGCUAACUCCGUGCCAGCAGCCGCGGUAAUACGGAGGGUGCGAGCGUUAAUCGGAAUUACUGGGCGUAAAGCGCGCGUAGGUGGCUUGAUAAGCCGGUUGUGAAAGCCCCGGGCUCAACCUGGGAACGGCAUCCGGAACUGUCAAGCUAGAGUGCAGGAGAGGAAGGUAGAAUUCCCGGUGUAGCGGUGAAAUGCGUAGAGAUCGGGAGGAAUACCAGUGGCGAAGGCGGCCUUCUGGACUGACACUGACACUGAGGUGCGAAAGCGUGGGUAGCAAACAGGAUUAGAUACCCGGGUAGUC